rnacentral:tRNA from 1 species
GAACUAUAAAUAGGUAUGUUUUGAAAACAUAUUUUGAGAAUUUCUCGUAGUUUU